rnacentral:rRNA from 1 species
AGUAACUGCGAGUGAAGCGGGAAAAGCUCAAAUUUAAAAUCUGGCGGUCUCCGGCCGUCCGAGUUGUAAUCUAGAGAAGUGUUAUCCGCGUUGGACCGUGUACAAGUCUCCUGGAAUGGAGCGUCAUAGAGGGUGAGAAUCCCGUCUUUGACACGGACUGCCAGGGCUUUGUGAUGCGCUCUCAAAGAGUCGAGUUGUUUGGGAAUGCAGCUCAAAAUGGGUGGUAAAUUCCAUCUAAAGCUAAAUAUUGGCGAGAGACCGAUAGCGAACAAGUACCGUGAGGGAAAGAUGAAAAGAACUUUGGAAAGAGAGUUAAACAGUACGUGAAAUUGCUGAAAGGGAAACGCUUGAAGUCAGUCGCGUUGGCCGGGGAUCAACCUUGCUUUUGCGGGGCGUAUUUUCCGGUUGACGGGUCAGCAUCAAUUUUGAUCGUUGGAUAAAGUCUAGGGGAAUGUGGCAUCUUCGGAUGUGUUAUAGCCCUUGGUCGCAUACAACGGUUGGGAUUGAGGAACUCAGCACGCCGCAAGGCCGGGUACUUGUACCACGUUCGUGCUUAGGAUGCUGGCAUAAUGGCUUUAAUCGACCCGUCUUGAAACACGGACCAAGGAGUCUAACAUGCCUGCGAGUGUUUGGGUGGAAAACUCGGACGCGCAAUGAAAGUGAAAGUUGAGAUCCCUGUCGCGGGGAGCAUCGACGCCCGGACCAGACCUUUUGUGACGGAUCCGCGGUAGAGCAUGUAUGUUGGGACCCGAAAGAUGGUGAACUAUGCCUGAAUAGGGUGAAGCCAGAGGAAACUCUGGUGGAGGCUCGUAGCGAUUCUGACGUGCAAAUCGAUCGUC